rnacentral:rRNA from 1 species
GAUCAUGGCUCAGGACGAACGCUGGCGGCGUGCUUAACACAUGCAAGUCGAACGGAGAACACUCUUCGGAAUGUUCUUAGUGGCGAACGGGUGAGUAACGCGUAGGCAACCUGCCCUCUGGUUGGGGACAACAUUCCGAAAGGGAUGCUAAUACCGAAUGUGAUCCUCUUUCCGCAUGGAGAGAGGAUGAAAGAUGGCCUCUACUUGUAAGCUAUCGCCAGAAGAUGGGCCUGCG